UACGUAGGGGGCUAGCGUUGUCCGGAUUCAUUGGGCGUAAAGCGCGUGUAGGCGGUCCGGUAAGUCCGCUGUGAAAGUCGAGGGCUCAACCCUCGAAUGCCGGUGGAUACUGUCGGGCUUGAGUACGGGAGAGGCGAGUGGAAUUCCUGGUGUAGCGGUGAAAUGCGCAGAUAUCAGGAGGAACACCGAUUGCGAAGGCAGCUCGCUGGAACGUUACUGACGCUGAGACGCGAAAUCAUGGGGAGCAAACAGG
rnacentral:rRNA from 1 species